rnacentral:ncRNA from 1 species
AUUUAAGUUUGAUUCUUGCUUGUUGUUUAAUUUUUUUGAUUAAAUUAUAUAUUUUUUAUCAUUAAUGUUCUUUUUAAUAGUAAUUGAUAUUUUUUAUUUUAUUUGAUUAAAUUUAGUUAUUCUUAAUAUAAUUGAUAAAUUCUGUGCCAGCAUUCGCGGUUAUACAGUUAAUUAAAGUUAAAUUUUUGGGUUUAAUAUUAAUUUAUUAUAUUAUGGAGUUAGUAAUUUUUUAUUUAGGUGGAAUUUAUAAUUUUUUUUAAUUUCUAUAAAUUAAUUUAUUUUACUGUUAUUACUCAAAAUAGGAUUAGAUACCCUUUUAUGUUUAAAUUUAAUUAUUAACUUGAAUAAAAGUAGAUUAUUCUUCAUAACUCAAAGAAUUUGGCGGUUAAUUUUAUAUUCAGAGGAACCUGUAUAUUAAUUGAUAAACCACGAUAGUUUAUACUUUUUAUUUACUUGUAUAUCUCUAUAUAAUGAUUGUUUUUUUAGAAUUAUUUUCUUUUAGAUUAAUUCAAUUAUCUUAGGUCAAGGUGUAGUUUUUAAAAUAGUUUAUAUGGGUUACUUAAGUUUUAAUUAUUAAUUUUUAGUUAAAUUUAAUUUACUUUUUAUUAGGAUUUGAAAGUAAUUUAAAUUAAUUUAUUUUUUUGAAUUUAAUAAGAAUUAGUGUACAUAUUGCCCGUCACUCCUAUUUUAGGAUAAGUCGUAACAUAGUAACCCUACCGGAAGGUGGGGUUAGAUUAUUAA